GGUGCUAUAGUGUAGUGGUUAUCACUCGGGAUUUUGACUUGUUCUGAUCAACCUUCCCGAAACCCAGGUUCGAACCCUGGUAGCACCU